GACGAACCGUGCGAACGUUAUUCGGAAUCAUUGGGCUUAAAGGGCGCGUAGGCGGGUGACCGCGUCGAGUGCUGAAAGCCCCCGGCUCAACCGGGGAAUGGGUCUCGAAACGGGUCCCCUGGAGGCGAGGAGGGGGACCUGGAACUUCCGGUGGAGCGGAGAAAUGCGUUGAGAUCGGAAGGAACGCCGAUGGCGAAUGCAAGGUCCUGGACUCGUCCUGACGCUGAGGCGCGAAAGCCAGGGGAGCGAACGGGG
rnacentral:rRNA from 1 species